AGCGAACGCUGGCGGCAGGCCUAACACAUGCAAGUCGAACGAACCCUUCGGGGUUAGUGGCGGACGGGUGAGUAACACGUGGGAACGUGCCUUUAGGUUCGGAAUAACUCAGGGAAACUUGUGCUAAUACCGAAUGUGCCCUUCGGGGGAAAGAUUUAUCGCCUUUAGAGCGGCCCGCGUCUGAUUAGCUAGUUGGUGAGGUAAAGGCUCACCAAGGCUACGAUCAGUAGCUGGUCUGAGAGGAUGACCAGCCACAUUGGGACUGAGACACGGCCCAAACUCCUACGGGAGGCAGCAGUGGGGAAUCUGGCGCAAUGGGCGAAAGCCUGACGCAGCCAUGCCGCGUGGAUGAUGAAGGUCUUAGGAUUGUAAAAUCCUUUCACCGGUGAAGAUAAUGACUGUAGCCGGAGAAGAAGCCCCGGCUAACUUCGUGCCAGCCGCCGCCGCGUAAGAC
rnacentral:rRNA from 1 species